rnacentral:rRNA from 1 species
GACGAACGCUGGCGGCGUGCUUAACACAUGCAAGUCGAACGGAAAGGCCCUGCUUUUGUGGGGUGCUCGAAUGGCGAACGGGUGGGUAACACGUGAGUAACCUGCCCUUGACUUUGGGAUAACUUCAGGAAACUGGGGCUAAUACCGGAUAGGAGCUCCUGCUGCAUGGUGGGGGUUGGAAAGUUUCGGCGGUUGGGGAUGGACUCGCGGCUUAUCAGCUUGUUGGUGGGGUAGUGGCUUACCAAGGCUUUGACGGGUAGCCGGCCUGAGAGGGUGACCGGCCACAUUGGGACUGAGAUACGGCCCAGACUCCUACGGGAGGCAGCAGUGGGGAAUAUUGCACAAUGGGCGGAAGCCUGAUGCAGCAACGCCGCGUGCGGGAUGACGGCCUUCGGGUUGUAAACCGCUUUCGCCUGUGACGAAGCGUGAGUGACGGUAAUGGGUAAAGAAGCACCGGCUAACUACGUG